GGUUGUAGCUCAGUGGCAGAGCACUUGCCUAGCAUGUGUGAGGCACUGGGUUCAAUUCUCAGCACCA
rnacentral:tRNA from 1 species